rnacentral:lncRNA from 1 species
UUAAUAGAAAUGAAAUUUCAAAACUACAAGGCUGGGCUUUUUGAGAAUACUAAUGCAGAGUGGCAUUCGUUUGCAUUAUGACUAUAACAGUAGUAAUUGCAGAGAAAGUGCUAAUUUUUUCAUCAUUGUUUUAAACUUGCUUAUAUAAUAUUGUAUUUUAUAUUACAAAGUGAAACUAUUUCCAAGGUGAUUAACUGAACUACCUGAUCUCUUUGUUCUUUGAAUUCUAUUAGAUAACACUGUUUUUUGUUAUAAUCUGCCUCACUCUGAAACCUUCUACCCUUUAUACUGCUACAACCAGGUGGCAGCCUGUACAGUGAUCUUCCUUUCCCUGAAAAUCCACAGGGGCAACGAGCCCAACUAGCAACAUUCAAUAUCUGGGCUUCACCUUGACCCAGAAAAUGCAAAUCAAACUAUGCUGAAAGCUUCAUACAAAGGAACUGAAAGAUUGAUUCCUACAAGGUACAGCAUGGAAUGUUAUAAUUUCAUACCAGGGUAGGUAAGUUUUUGAUAAAAGCACUUGCUGAGAUUUCUAAUUUCUUCCCUCAAGGGCAUGAAACUAAGCAAAUUAAUCACUCUAACAUCUAGACUCUUAAGGCAGAGGCCCAUUUAUUAGAAUAUGUUCAAUAGCAGAAGACAUGCUAUGUAUCAUCACACGCCCGCACCUGAUCCUCAACUCUCUGGGCCCAGCGAGCAGCAUCGUUACAGACGCUUAACACAGUUUAACGAAUUUCUCUGAUACACCAACAGUGGCUUGGUCCAUGGUUCCACGGCUCUGCCUCCCAGGGACCAUCAACAACCAAAGGCCCUUUCUCAGUGGUUUUCUUUGAGAUGUUCAGAAGACACCCACACACACCUAACACUGCCCCCACCCACCUGGUUCUGUACCCUUAUAGAGUUGAACAGUUCUCCCUUCCAGCCAAGGGCAGAAAUGAGGAACCUGCCAGAUCGGAGAGUUCCCAAAUCUAAUCACCAUUUAUGCUAGAAUUCCUUCAGCUGCAAAUAAUGCAGGGUCUCAUCUUAGCAGUGACAAGAUAUCUGCCAGCAGCACCAGGCCUACAUCUUCCCAGCUUUAAAUUCAGUGAAAAGACAGGAUCUCUUUCUAAAGCACUGCAAUAAAAUUUCCAGAAUGAAAACUCAUCAGCUUAAUUGGCCUCUGUUGGUUAUCUGCCCAUUUGUGAACCAAUCACUGUGGUCUGAGAGGUGCAAGGACUCCUCUGAUUGGCCUGGCCUGGGCCAUUUGCCCACUUCCGGCAUCAGAAGGAAGGACAGUUUCAAAAGGCAAACUGGGUGUUGCUACAGGAGAGCAUUCAGGCAAACCACAGCCAAUCUCAGGACUCUCCUUGUUCUGCCUUGUCUUCAAAUCCUCUUGCACAUUUUUCCAGCCUCGGACCCGCUGUGCCUCACCAUGUUCAUCUAGCAUAGGACCCUCAAUACAUUUCUCUGACACAGGGAAAACCCAUUUGGUGUAGUGAAUGACCCUAGAGUCAAACAGCCUGGGUUCUAAUUCUGGCUCUAUCAUUUUAGCAAGCUGUAUAAUCUCUCCGUGCCUCAGUUUCCUCAUCAAAAAAAAAAAGGCAGGUGGGCUGGGAGCAGUGGCUCAUG